CUUGUACCGACUGGAUGAGCAGCGAACGGGUGAGUAACGCGUGGGGAAUCUGCCUUUGAGCGGGGGACAACAUUUGGAAACGAAUGCUAAUACCGCAUAAAAACUUUAAACACAAGUUUUAAGUUUGAAAGAUGCAAUUGCAUCACUCAAAGAUGAUCCCGCGUUGUAUUAGCUAGUUGGUGAGGUAAAGGCUCACCAAGGCGAUGAUACAUAGCCGACCUGAGAGGGUGAUCGGCCACAUUGGGACUGAGACACGGCCCAAACUCCUACGGGAGGCAGCAGUAGGGAAUCUUCGGCAAUGGACGAAAGUCUGACCGAGCAACGCCGCGUGAGUGAAGAAGGUUUUCGGAUCGUAAAACUCUGUUGGUAGAGAAGAACGUUGGUGAGAGUGGAAAGCUCAUCAAGUGACGGUAACUACCCAGAAAGGGACGGCUAACUACGUGCCAGCAGCCGCGGUAAUACGUAGGUCCCGAGCGUUGUCCGGAUUUAUUGGGCGUAAAGCGAGCGCAGGUGGUUUAUUAAGUCUGGUGUAAAAGGCAGUGGCUCAACCAUUGUAUGCAUUGGAAACUGGUAGACUUGAGUGCAGGAGAGGAGAGUGGAAUUCCAUGGGUAGCGGG
rnacentral:rRNA from 1 species